rfam:Folsomia candida strain VT population Fcan01_Sc032, whole genome shotgun sequence.
GCCUCCGUAGCGCAAUUGGUUAGAGCAUUAGACUUUUAAUCUAAAGGUUAGUGGUUCAAGUCCACUCGGGGGCG